AAUAUAAUUAAGUGUCCAUAGUGAUGCACCACAUUUCUCGAAACAUUAAUCAUAUUCAUAAAGUAAAGUCAUGACGCAAUUUUAAUCCUAAUUUGAAUCUAGAUCUUUUUAAAUUAGUUUAAAAUUAACAUGCAUUUUACAUACUAACAGACGUAUUAUAAAACACAAAAAUUCCUCAAAAUAUGUACAACUUAACAAAAAACAUGGAAGAUAUCAAAGAACUAUAAAAUCAACCAGCGAUUACUUAACAUUAAGUUUUUGCAAACAAUUACAUGGAAGAAAAUCAAACAAAUACAAAUAAUCUAUUACAAACAUUAAAAUUAAAUUGUUAUUACUUUUAUACCAACAAAACGUAUUGUUUUGUUAUCAUCACUUGUUAAUGCAAUGAUAUAAAUUAACUAAUUUUGUUAAUAUUAUUUGCGGUCUCUAUUUUUUGCUAAGAUUUGUCACAAUGAGUAAUAUCCCCAUAUCCCUUGUUUAAUAAAAAAAAAUUGCUAAGACAUACCAAAAUAAUCGAUUGUCACAACAUUCGCUUUUAAUAACAAAAUAAAUGGGUCCAAUCCCAACAGCCCCAAAAACAGCAACAUACAUUGGGAAGUUGCAAAAAACAACAGCAUACUUUAGGUCUUAUACAAACAAAAGUCAAAAAUAGCAUGGGUCUUUAAUCUCUCUGUGAUUCAAAUAGGUACCUUCAUUAGAUAGUAUGGAGGAGAUUUUGACUCGUGAUCUUUUCCAUGUUGUGGAUUUUGUUGAGAUAUUGGGUUUGUUGCGAGGAUGCCACCUAGAACACAUGCACUUUUGGUCCCCUGGUUGAAAUGCUUAGUAUGUUGUAAGGAUCCACAGGUUAAAACGAACGAAAUAGAAAAGAGAAGGGAAAAUGGUCAUUUAGCAUAGUCUUAAUUGAUGUGUUGUUUAGUUAAACUAUCCGGGGACCAAAAGUACAAUUGUAAUUAAUCAUCUCGCCUUAUAUAUCAAGUAAGCAUAUCAUUAACAAGUAUUUGUUGAAUGUAUUAAACUCAUAUAUUUCCAUAACCUAAACAGAUCCUACAAUUUGCACCAUAGUUGACCUAUAUGCUAAAGCUAAAAUCAAAUCUAGUUGAUCUGAGCAACAAAAUGAAAGAGCCACAAACACACCUAAUAUAUUCAAGCAGCCAAAAAAAUUUGCACGGUGUGUAUGUACGCAUAAAUGAAAUAAAUCCAGAAAAAAAAGAUGAAGAAAUCGAACCAUGUAGAGUGUUGCAGGAACAUUGGUUUCAGAUAUACAGAGAAGUGAUGAGGGAAGUGGUUGGAAACAAAAGGGGCAGAUCCAGAUAAGGGUAGAGAAGUCGAUGUGGUAGAAAGUGUUGACGACGGCGAAGGAUGUCUUACAUCGGAGAGGUGAUCAAGGUUUGAAAGGUGAGAAUGAAUCGAAGAGAUCAAGAUGGCGAUGGUAGAUGGAGAAGAUGAACGUGAGGAGACAAUGUAGUUAACAUGGGUUUAAGGUAUAGCCGACGUAGAGGUGGUGGAUUUCAGGGGUAUAUGGUUGUUAGAGAUGGUGGCGACCACCGUCUCUAGGGUGGUGAUGGCGGUGGACACAAUGAUUAAUGGCGUGUAGAAAAUAUUUUUCCGUCCAUGUUCUUGUUCCUGUUCAUGUGUUCGAUUUCAUUUUUGCACCUCCAUUCAGCAUCGGAUAGAAACAGUCAGUGUGAUAGAGGUGAGUGAUCGGUGGCUACUCGAUGGUGGUGAGAAAGAGAAACGGUGGCGGUUGUCGUGGCUUGCGACAUUGGCAACGCAACGCCAUGAAUGAGAUGCUAUAUAACAUUGAUUUAACCGGGUUUUGACCAAUUCAAUUUGCUAAAAGUGAGGAUUGUUUGUUCAAAUUUGACUGCUUAACUUGUUUAUCUAAUAAGAUUUGUAAUCCAUAAAGUUGUUUUACAUAAUACUUUAAGGAUUGUAC
rnacentral:lncRNA from 1 species